rnacentral:lncRNA from 1 species
CGCAUCCCCAACACCGCCUUCCGCGGCCUCAAGGACCAGCCGCUGGCCCAGCUGCUCUACGCCGCCAUGGCCGAGGUCAGUAGCACUGGUGGAAGAGACAAUAACCGCAGCAGCUCCCUCCCACCCAGGCCAUUGGCCUUUCCCUAGCUAUGCCAUAGGCCUCCCCGCGUCCAUGGGCCACCCAGCAUAACGGGCAAGUAUGAAGGCCUCGCCUGCAAACCAGCCUCCGCCAGCUCUCCUUUGGCUCAGGAAAAAAACGAAGCCCAAGGCCUUCAGGUAUUGGAGAAGAGGACCAAGGAGUCUCAGCAAUCGAUGUGAGGAGCCUUCGUUCCAGUGGUGGGCCAGGAGGGCCUGCAAAAGUAUCCCUGCUUACAGGAGGUGUCUGGAACCUUUGUCAGAAGAGGGGGCUCAUCCCCCCCCCAGAGAACCAUCUCUGGCAGCCCAAAGGCAAUGCCCGCGUGUGC